UACGGAGGGUGCAAGCGUUAAUCGGAUUUACUGGGCGUAAAGCGCGCGUAGGUGGUUUGUUAAGUUGAAUGUGAAAUCUCCGGGCUCAACCUGUAAACUGCAUCCAAAACUGGCAAGCUAGAGUAUGGUAGAGGGUGGUGGAAUUUCCUGUGUAGCGGUGAAAUGCGUAGAUAUAGGAAGGAACACCAGUGGCGAAGGCGACCACCUGGACUGAUACUGACACUGAGGUGCGAAAGCGUGGGGAGCAAACAGG
rnacentral:rRNA from 1 species